rnacentral:misc_RNA from 1 species
AUCGAAGCCCCUUCCCAAUUUCCUAUUUAAUAGGUAUUGUGUGCAGGGUGAUUAUGUUGGCCUCCCGUGAGCUCUGUCUCACGGUUGGUUGAAAAUUGAGACCUUGGUAGGGUGUGCCAUGAUAGAUGGUGGAUGUGUGACCCACGAGACCAAAUCAUGUGCUGCUCUAUUGAAUGUGGACUCUUUUACCCACAUGCGUUUUGUAACGCUCGUG